GUCGAGCGGAUGAAGGGAGCUUGCUCCUGGAUUCAGCGGCGGACGGGUGAGUAAUGCCUAGGAAUCUGCCUGGUAGUGGGGGAUAACGUCCGGAAACGGGCGCUAAUACCGCAUACGUCCUGAGGGAGAAAGUGGGGGAUCUUCGGACCUCACGCUAUCAGAUGAGCCUAGGUCGGAUUAGCUAGUUGGUGGGGUAAAGGCCUACCAAGGCGACGAUCCGUAACUGGUCUGAGAGGAUGAUCAGUCACACUGGAACUGAGACACGGUCCAGACUCAUACGGGAGGCAGCAGUGGGGAAUAUUGGACAAUGGGCGAAAGCCUGAUCCAGCCAUGCCGCGUGUGUGAAGAAGGUCUUCGGAUUGUAAAGCACUUUAAGUUGGGAGGAAGGGCAGUAAGUUAAUACCUUGCUGUUUUGACGUUACCAACAGAAUAAGCACCGGCUAACUUCGUGCCAGCAGCCGCGGUAAUACGAAGGGUGCAAGCGUUAAUCGGAAUUACUGGGCGUAAAGCGCGCGUAGGUGGUUCAGCAAGUUGGAUGUGAAAUCCCCGGGCUCAACCUGGGAACUGCAUCCAAAACUA
rnacentral:rRNA from 1 species